rnacentral:rRNA from 1 species
UACAGAGGUCUCAAGCGUUGUUCGGAUUCAUUGGGCGUAAAGGGCGCGUAGGCUGCGGGGUAAGUCGGGUGUGAAAUCUCAGAGCUCAACUCUGAAACUGCACUCGAUACUGCUUUGCUUGAGGACUGGAGAGGAGAUUGGAAUUCACGGUGUAGCAGUGAAAUGCGUAGAUAUCGUGAGGAAGACCAGUGGCGAAGGCGGAUCUCUGGACAGUUCCUGACGCUGAGGCGACGAAGGCCAGGGGAGCAAACGGG